rnacentral:lncRNA from 1 species
AAGUUAAACUGUUAGGGCGCAACUGAGUAGUCUAACGUUGUUCUGGUUUUGGUUCUUGUGAACGUCGACAUCGAUUCGUUCCCAAUUUACACUCUCGGGGCAUAAUAAAAUAAUAUAAUUAGGUUAUACUAUUUGUUCGAUAGAAUGAGAAAAAGUACUCGUUGCAAAGUUAUACUGUUAGGACGCAAUUGAGUAGUCUAAUGUUGUUCCGGUUUUUGUUCUUGUGAACGUUGACAUCGAUUCAUUCCAAAUUUACACUCUCGGGGCAUAGUAGAACAAUAUAAUUAGCUUUUACUCUUUGUUCGAUAAAAUGAGAAAAAGUACCCCUUGCAAAGUUAUACUGUUAGGGCGCAACUCAGUAGUCUAAUGUUGUUCCGAUUUUUGUUCUUGUGAACAUUGACAUCGAUUCGUUCCAAAUUUACUCUUUCGGGGCAUAAUAGAACAAUAUAAUUAGGUUUAACUCUUUGUUCGAUAGAAUGAGAAAAAGUACUCGUUGCAAUGUUAUANNNNNNNNNNNNNNNNNNNNNNNNNGAUUUAAUGAGAAAAAGUACUCGUUGCAAAGUUAUACUGUUUAGGCGCAACUGAGUAUUGUAAUAUUGUUCCGGUUUUAGUUCUUGUGAACGUUGACAUCGAUUCGUUCCAAAUUUACACUAUCGGGGCAUAAUAGAGCAAUAUAAUUAGGUUUUACUCUUUGUUGGAUAGAAUGAGAAAAAGUACUCGUCGCAAGGUUAUACUGUUAGGGUGCAACUGAGUAGUCUAAUGUUGUUCCGGUUUUGGUUCUUGUAAAUGUUGACAUCGAUUCGUUCCAAAUUUAUACUCUCGGGGCAUAAUAGAACAAUAUAAAUAGGUUUUUCUCUUUUUUCGAUAGAAUGAGAAAAAAUACUCGUCGCAAAGUUAUACUGUUAGGGCGUAAUUGAGUAUUCUAAUGUUGUUCCGGUUUUGGUUCUUGCGAACGUUGACAACAAUUCAUUCCAAAUUUAUACUCUUGGGGCAUAAUAGAAUAAUAUAAUUAGGUUUUACUCUUUGUUCGAUAGAAUGAGAAAUCGUACUCGUCGCAAAGUUACACUGUUAGUUCGCAAUUGAGUAGUCUAAUGUUGUUCCGGUUUUUAUUCUUGUGAACGUUGACAUCGAUUCGUUCCAAAUAUACACUCUCUGGGCAUAAUAGGAGAAUAUAAUUAGGUUUUACGCUUUGUUCGAUAGAAAGAGAAAAAGUACUCGUUGCAAAGUUAUGCUGUUAGGGCGCAANNNNNNNNNNNNNNNNNNNNNNNNNCAUCGAUUCGUUCCAAAUUUAUACUCUCGGGGCAUAAUAGAACAAUAUAAA